rfam:Biomphalaria glabrata isolate BB02 unplaced genomic scaffold LGTN_random_Scaffold1972, whole genome shotgun sequence.
GGGGCUGUAUCUCAAGUGGUAGAGCGCUCGCUUAGCAUGUGAGAGGUACAGGGAUCGAUACCCUGCUGCUCCA